rnacentral:misc_RNA from 1 species
GGAUGAUUCAGUGGAAUCAGAAGCUGUAUUCAAUGAAACACUGCUCGGUUCAAGUCUGUAUUCGAAAGCACCGGAUUGAGGAUUGCGUUGAGCAUUAACAACCAUUCCAUCAGAUGAUACUUUCCCUCCAAGAUUCUUAAGGCAAUAAUCAAGGAGUUCAGGUGGACCUGCUUUGCACACAGCACCACGAAGGGUGCGCCAGGUGACCCAAUU